GAGCUUCGGCAGCACAUAUACUAAAAUUGGAACGAUACAGAGAAGAUUAGCACGGUGCUUUAAUAAAAUAAAAUUUAAAAACUAAAAUAAAAUUCCUUUCCCU